rnacentral:rRNA from 1 species
AUACGGAGGGUGCGAGCGUUAAUCGGAAUUACUGGGCGUAAAGGGUGCGUAGGCGGCUUGAUAAGUCGGAUGUGAAAGCCCCGGGCUUAACCUGGGAAUUGCAUUCGAUACUGUCAGGCUAGAGUAUGUCAGAGGUUGGCGGAAUUCCUGGUGUAGCGGUGAAAUGCGUAGAUAUCAGGAGGAACACCAGUGGCGAAGGCGGCUACCUGGGGCAAUACUGACGCUGAGGCACGAAAGCGUGGGGAGCAAACAGGAUUAGAAACCCUAGUAGUCC